AACGAACGCUGGCGGCAUGCCUAACACAUGCAAGUCGAACGAAGCCUUCGGGCUUAGUGGCGCACGGGUGCGUAACGCGUGGGAAUCUGCCCUUUGGUUCGGAAUAACAGUUGGAAACGACUGCUAAUACCGGAUGAUGACGAAAGUCCAAAGAUUUAUCGCCAGAGGAUGAGCCCGCGUAGGAUUAGCUAGUUGGUGUGGUAAAGGCGCACCAAGGCGACGAUCCUUAGCUGGUCUGAGAGGAUGAUCAGCCACACUGGGACUGAGACACGGCCCAGACUCCUACGGGAGGCAGCAGUGAGGGAUAUUGGACAAUGGGCGAAAGCCUGAUCCAGCACUGCCGCGUGAGUGAUGAAGGCCCUAGGGUUGUAAAGCUCUUUUACCCGGGAUGAUAAUGACAGUACCGGGAGAAUAAGCCCCGGCUAACUCCGUGCCAGCCGCCGCAGUAA
rnacentral:rRNA from 1 species